GUAGGGAAUCUUCGGCAAUGGACGAAAGUCUGACCGAGCAACGCCGCGUGAGUGAAGAAGGUUUUCGGAUCGUAAAACUCUGUUGGUAGAGAAGAACGUUGGUGAGAGUGGAAAGCUCAUCAAGUGACGGUAACUACCCAGAAAGGGACGGCUAACUACGUGCCAGCAGCCGCGGUAAUACGUAGGUCCCGAGCGUUGUCCGGAUUUACUGGGCGUAAAGCGAGCGCAGGUGGUUUAUUAAGUCUGGUGUAAAAGGCAGUGGCUCAACCACUGUAUGCAUUGGAAACUGGUAGACUUGAGUGCAGGAGAGGAGAGUGGAAUUCCAUGUGUAGCGGUGAAAUGCGUAGAUAUAUGGAGGAACACCGGUGGCGAAAGCGGCUCUCUGGCCUGUAACUGACACUGAGGCUCGAAAGCGUGGGGAGCAAACAGGAUUAGAUACCCCUGUAGUCC
rnacentral:rRNA from 1 species